AUUGCAAUUUGUUAGCUUCAUAAACAAUAUAACCAUUAUUACCAAUUGGAAUUACAUAAAACUAAGGAAGAAAGAAUACCCCAUCCAUUAUUUCUAUUUUGACCUAAGGUUUAAAGAGUCACUGACUAUUGACUCUUUAAAAAUGACAUUCAAUCGUUUCCAAAAUAAAUAGAUAAAGCAAAAGAAAUGAGAAUGAAAAUUUUAUAUCAUAUCUGCCAGCCUUCAAGGAUUUGAAUGCACCUAUGCAGUUUUCUCCAACGUUCUUGCCGCGGCUUUGUAAGAAUAUUGUUUCUUUGGUAUCUAAUUACAAGUUUGGUCAUAGAAAAUAAGUUACAAGGUUGAUAACUUAUACCGAGUCACAAAAUAGUUACUAGUAAUUAUAUAUCACGGUCUGAAAAGAUCAUGAACUAUUAAAGGACAUUUUUUCAAUUUCGCUGAAUAGUUCUUUCUUUAACAUUUCAAUUCUUGAAAAAAGAAGUGCUAAUAAAAGAACUUUCACGUUUUUUUCACUGAACAGUGCAGGAAAGAUAAAGAGCAAAUAGUAAAUUUGAAAAGAAAAAUUUUUGAUAGUUGGCCUUGUAUCAGGGAAGAGAUGGUAUUAUUGUUAAUCUAUAACAUGUGACCAACAAAUGACUAAAGACCCUUUCUUAUAAUGUGACAUUGUAAUUCGAAAAUACUUUCAACAAAAAUUAGCUCGUAACAGAUUUCAAAAUUUCCUUCGACGUUUUUCAAACUCUCCAAAAUAAACACAGAAAAAUAAUACUUAAUGAAUUCCAGUACUCUCCAAUACACAAGCAAAGAAAAAUAGUUAUUGCAUUCUUACCAGCUGCCCAAGAUUUUCCUUCUCUGUUUCUUUCUUUUUAUUUAAACCAUUUAUUAUUCUAUUUUAUAGGUAAUGAAUUAAUCAGCGAUGUUCAAUAAAUGGAGGGAUUCUCUUGUAAUUCCGGAAAACCCACAUAAGGUAGCCAGUUUACUAGAUACUAGUAUUAAAAUACUACUCCUUGUAAUUAUUGUUGAUCUACUCAAACAUUAGGCAAAUCACUUUAAUAAACACGAGUUAGUUCUGUAAAAGUCAUUGAACGCUUAUUAUUUUCCUACUCACAUUCAGGUUCCUCUCAUGAACAUCAAAAUUCUCACAAAUCACUUUCUUGCUGUCUCCCAUGCUAUUUCUCCCUUUACUCAGGCCAUUUGCUUCUUCAGGAAUGUCAUAUUUUAUGCUGCUUUUUCUAACAAAUUUUACAUAACUAAACAAGCAAAAUCCACAUGCAAAAACCAACAUUCUUCUUUCCUUCUAAUUAUUCUUAACUAAAAAUGUGACGUGUUUUUAUGUGAGGAUAAAGGAGAAUAAAACGGGGCUUUGCAAGUUGGUUUCUGGAGCAUUUCUUGAACAAGGCGUGCCAUUCUCGUGUGUGCUGCUUCUAGUAUUUCUUUGUCCAUCCGUACAAGUGACAUAAUAGUAUAAAUAAGCAUGUAUCGCAAAGAGACUCCAACCAAAACCAGUUGUCCCUAACAGCUUUUGAUCUGAAGGUUUGGAGUCUGUUCUCUAUUGUAAGUAAUUGCCAUAUAGAGAAAAUUUUAGUGUUCUUUCAAAACUAGUUUUCCUUCAUUCCAUUCCCCUAUUUUGAUCAAAUGAUGAUAUGCUUCCCCUCUUUGGAGAUGGUUAUUUUCUUAAAGUGUAUCGAGUACCCUCUGAAAUGUCCAGGGACUCUCGCUUUCCUUGACUCAAAUAUCAUGAGACAGAGCAGGGGCUAGAUUGGAAUCCAAUCUUAUUGUUGUUUUUCAUUUACAAUUCUAUCUUAUGUUUCCCAUGGAAAUCACUAUUUGAUCAUCUCUAUCUUCUAUAACUUCUUAUUAAUUUUCUGUAAUGUUGCGCGACCUGUCUAUAAACUUACUAUGUGUAUAAUUUUCUGUAAUGCUGUGCGACCUGUGUAUCUUCUAUAUACUUACUAUUUCAUCAUCUGCUCUUUUUUACAUACUAUGUUAGGCUAUGUUUUCCAAAUAUAUCAUGCAAAUACCUUCAUAAUUCUUGAUGGUUCUUCCGUUUCAGGCCAACUCAAGCAUUUGAUUUAUGGAGAAACAGAAUUUAGACCUGUACUGGCAGAAUAUUCAGAUUAUGCGGGAGAAUGACAGGCUAAGGAAGACUGCUCAACGGCUGAGACAGGAGAACCAGGCUUUGUAUACUGAGCUAAAACAGAGACUAGCAGCAGCAAGAAUUAAUCAAAUACCUGAACUUGAACUUACCCUUGGCCCCAGUCCUGCUGCAGACCAAAUGAAAGCAAAGAAACCUCAGCCACCUCCAUGCAGCUGAAGCAAUGCUUGUUUCUGGUCUCGGUCCAGGCUCAAGGUUGUUGGACGUUUAAGCAUGAGUGUUGCUUGUGUUGUCGCAAUUCAGAGAUUUCUGUUGUUUGAAACAAAAAAGUUCAUAGGAAUAAGCACUGAGAAAUAAAGCAUCAACAUAUCUAUAUUACUUGAUGAGAAUCAAUUUGCAGUUCUGUUGUGAUACUUUAAUGUUGCCUGGUCAGUUUCUUCAUCCGGUUUUAACUUUACUAAGUUUUAUAAAAGGCAUAGUUUAUAUCUGUUUGUAAUCUGAAAUGAUCUUUCAUCCUCUAAUAUGCACUUGUGUCAUGGUAUGCAAAUAACAGUAAUAGGAAGAAUUACCAACAGAAGCUGUCGCGAAGAAGGAUAUAAGCCAAAAUUAAGAUGAGCGGUUUGAGACCAGGCAUUGGAAAUUCGUCACAUAAGAUAGCAUGAAACAGACAAUGUUUAUCAAUACUAUGUAAAAUUGCAAUGCGAAGAAUAAGAGAAUGAAAAUAGAAACAAAAGAAAGAAAAAGAAAAAGAUGGACAGUGGUAGUGCUAGGAAAACACCCUAGAAUACUAAUGUCAUGGCCUCACCUCAGGUCUGUAUGUUUACAUAUUGCCGUUAGUUUGUGAAUUAGUUCAUUCCUAUAUUAUUUUCUUUAUAUUGUUAUAGUUACUGAUGAAGCAACACUUAUAGUUUCAUGCGUUUUUUUUACUUGGAAAUAAACUAGUAAAAUAAAUAAACAAUGACACACAUGUAUUAUUUUCUGACCCCUAAUUACUUCAUAUUUUUCACUGAUCAAUUAUCCCCUUUCUAUUAAGAUUUCUCUGGAGAAAACAUAAAUUAAGUACUUUGAUAUAAACAUAGAGAAUACAAGCAAUAUGAGUUCUUUCAAAAGCCACUUGGCAAUACCAUUUAAAAUCAAUAGUGAACUAACCAACAUAAGGUACAUUUUUCUAACAGCAUAUGAAACUACAGGGUAGCUCAGAUUAUUUUUAAAGUUAGAUAUGGCCCUUUAAUUAAGACAAUCUAGCGAGAGGGCAGUGUAGUUUAACACUUUUGUGCAUUCAAAAGCUGUGGAAUCCAAUGCAACCUCACUGGAAGAUUACAGGAACAAGGAGAUUUAGCAAUGAAAACCCACUUUAAGUUCACAGUUAUUACUCCAAAAGCAUGGAUGAAACAUAUUGCUAAUACUCCGAGAAGUUCAUUCUUUAGCAUGCUCCAAUACUAGUCAUUGAAACUAACAUAUACAACAAGAAGCUUUCCAGAUAGAUACAUAGCUUAUUUAUAGAAUCUAUUAAAGAGCAUACCAACUUUCGCACAUAAAUAAGAGAAAUGUUUUACAAAGUAGGAAAAGAACUCUUUGUUUAUAUAUCGAAGACGAGAAAUAUUUACAGAAAAAAAGAUACUAAGAACAAGAGCAACAGUUCACAUUGAAUGCUGAUUUAGCAAAGAUGAUGCAAUAUAACCCAUGGGAGUUCUCAUGGCACAAAAUCUUGGUGCAACAGCAGUGAAUAUCAUGUGCACUUAUGCACACCCCCAACGUAGCCAGGUGAGAUAUAAGAAGCUUUUAAGUAGGUAUUAUCUAUUUCGCUGAUUAGAAAAAGCAGAGAACAUCGGACAAGAUGUGAAGAUGAAGUUUUACCUAAUAUUACAAUAAGAUUAAGUGCAGGCACUAUAUUAUAGACCUUUCAAUAAAGGCAUACAGGGUAUAUAGAUCAAGAAAAGAAUGAUACUGGACAUACAAUGUAAUAUCAAUCUUGAAAAGAAUGAUAGUGGACAAAUGAUAUUUCUACUCUUUGUUGUUGUAUAUAUUCAAUGAUGUAUUAGUAGAUAUUUCUUCAGUUAGCAGAUUUCUACUUAAAAAGAUUUUCCACCAAAAGUCAAAUAUCAGCAAUAAAAAUGUGUCUAAGCUCUAAAUAUCUUUCCUUUUUGAUAAGUAAUGUGUCCAAAAUUUAAUUUGUCAACAUUUUAUCUCAUGCAAAUAACGAUAACAGAAAGAAAGUUCUGCAUUUCGACUGCACCCACUAGUCUAGAGUAUUAGUAAGCAUAAGAACGAGAUGCCUAUUACUCCAAAACAGCAAAUAAAUUUCGUUUUGCAGCUAUAUUGACAUAUAGAAUCUGCACAAUUAAUCAUAACAUAAGUUAGUAGAAAGGAUUCAGAAAAUUCGAGAGAUGUGAAAUAGUACGGCAGACAGACAGUUGAGAUGAUAUAGAGCAAAACAUGCAAUUUGUAACUUUACAAGCAAUUAAUGCGGAUAGAUAAGCUACAGGCUAAUUUUCCUCAUCAAUUAGCACUGUAAAAUAUAGGCUAGUUGUACGAAAGACCUUUUCAGAAAGAAGUUCGGAAACAGGGUGAUGUAUCCAGCAAAUAAACUAUUUCAGAAUUUGCUCAGUCUAUCGGAAGAGGUCUGAGUAUCGGCAGCUCCUGCAAAACCACUUUCAGUAAGGAAAGCAGUUGAAGGAAGAAUCCACCGAAAAACCUUUUAUGUUGCUAAUGAACACAUCCAAACACUAAUAUAAGCAGGAAUAAGAGUUAAUUCAGAUUACUCUUUUUGCACCAGGUAGCAGUUAAAAUACUUUACUGUCACUAUUACUGCCAUUUAUAGCUUGUGACGCCUCUUGUGAAGAUCUUUUGUCGUUAAGCAGCUCAUAAAGAAUAAAGUAAAUAAGGAUCCAAGAGAGUGUUUCCUUGUCCAUAUUCUCGUGCACGUGAAAGGAGGAACAGAAAGUGAUUCCAAUGGACCAUUCACGCCCAUCAAAAGCAAAAUGCCCAGCUCAGCUACUGAAUGCUUUGCUUAGAUAGGUGAUACACUAUCUAAUGUGGAAGACGAUAUAAGACAGGUCUUAUUUCACGCAAAAUGUCUAGAAUCAAAAAAUAAAAAUCCUUAAGAAACAUCUAUGCUUGCAGGAAUGCAUUUUGUAUAAAGAGGCAUUUUAUAGCCAAGCAUAAUGUGAGUCAAAUAUCUCAUGAAUAUUACCAAAAAAGCAAGUGCAUCUAUAUAUCUUCUUUUUUAAUAAUGACAAAAGCAUUUGAAUGUAAUGCACUAGAUAUUGCAAGAGAAACAUGACAAAUGAAGAUUUAGCAUAUAAAAUUGAAAUAGGAUGGCUGAAAUGGAGGAGUACUUACAAUCGUGCUGCACAAUAGGAAGAUGGCCUUCCUCAAAUCAGUUUAUAUCUCCAUAGCGCCACUCUCUACCUAAAGACAUUUUCAAUGUGUCAUAUACUCUUUAUCCACCACCGGAUCCUCAAGGAAAACUUUUGGGCCCAUUAUGACCAUUAGAUUGUAAUUCACCUGCACUUUAUGAACUUAAAAUCAUUUUUCCUGUAAUAAGUAGGAUUUUAAAUUCAUGAAUUUUCAAUUAGUAAGCCAAAAUCUAGAUAUUCCAACCGAACCUUAAAAUACAUGAACUUAAAAGGGCAGAAGAGUGAAUGCUAAUGAGAGUCAAAACCUUCUUAAAGAGAGUCAAAUUCUUCAGAUGGCAAGUACAUGAUCAUUGCCAGGCAAUAUGAAUUCAUAACUAUGCUCCCUCAUGACUAAUAUUUGCCAUCUCCACCUAAUUUAAGAUGUAGGAAUCACCGCUCAACAAAUAUCACUGUAUUUAAUGCGAAGUUCUUUUUGUACUUCCAAUAUUCUACUACCGAGACACCUUCUUCAAUAUUUCCUUUGUUUUAUUUUAUAUGACACUGAUACUAUUUGGGGAUCAAACAGUUCUUCCUUUGACUAUAAAUUUGUUCAUAUUCUUUAAUAGUAUGCUGAAUUACAAAAUAAUUUGUGACUUAUAGUACUAUUAAUGUAGUUUCUAAAUAUGUUUUAAUUCAAUAAAUUAAAGAAUUCAUGUCUAAUUAAACUGGAUACUGUCGCCCUAGCAUUUCAAAAUUCGUCAUUCUUUUUGAAACGGAUUAUUUGGAAAGACUAAAAUACUUUGAAAUGUAACUUCAUUUCAACUUUUAGCAACUCCCUUCAUUCCAAUUUUUAUGAAAGUUUUUCCAUUUCAGGAUGUGCCAAAACGUCUAUAUUAGACUAUUCAUCUUUUCAACUUUGAUCGAUGUUUUCUCCACUAAACUAUCUUUUCAACCAUUACUUCAAUAUUUUUCUUCCACAAUCACUAAUACAAUAUACAAGUUAAGUAGUUUCUUAACUAUGUGGAGCACUAAAAAAAGGCAGCGCGGUGCACUAAGCUCCCGCUAUGCGAACGUCCGGGAGCCGAACCAUAAGGGUCUAUCGUAAACAGCCUUACACUACAUUGGAAAGUAAGGAGUAGGAUUUGUAACAUACUCCAAAUGAUGAAUGCCGCAAAAGGUUUCAGGUAACUAUGCAUCCCUUAAUUACAUACCUCCAUAAUACAAACUGAAAACCAACUCAAAAGUAGAAACAUUACCGUAAGAUUGUCAGCAAGAAGCAAACCGGUGGAGUAACGGAGACUAACAGCGGUGGGUACGAACGACUGAGCGGUAAAGCAAUAACAACACGGCAGCACUUCGACGUCGUUGGUUUCUCCAGAACAUCUCUACUCUCUAGUGAAGUGACGGUUGAAAAUCGCUUGCACUUGUGUACUCAUACUUUUAUAGUGAUUUCACUUUUUUACAGGAGUUUGAUUAAUUUAUUGAAAGGGGAAUAUGAAGUUUUGGAAAGAAGAAACAGGAUUUGGGGUGUUCGGAGAAAAAUAUUUUUCUUGAAAUGGUUUUGUC
rnacentral:lncRNA from 1 species